UAUAAUUUGGGACUUAAAGAUUUUGAGCAUUUCUUAAUCUGAUUUGCAGGUGAUGAUCUGCUGCCAGAAUAAAUAAAUCUUAGGAAGUGCCAAGACUGCUCAGCCAUUUGCUGCGAUACCACUCCCACAUAAGGAACCUGUAUCAUCACCUUUUUUCAAGCAGCUUCUCCACCGUGCCUGCUGCUCUAUGUUCUAGAUUCUGAAGCUGAUGGUACUUGGACAUGCUACAGGCACAAAGAAUCCAGCAGCUGUGAAAUUUAAAGUUAAGUAUCUUCAGGGGUUCUGAGACAACGCUUGAAG
rnacentral:lncRNA from 1 species